GACGAACGCUGGCGGCGUGCUUAACACAUGCAAGUCGAACGGAAAGGCCCUGCUUUUGUGGGGUGCUCGAGUGGCGAACGGGUGAGUAACACGUGAGUAACCUGCCCUUGACUUUGGGAUAACUUCAGGAAACUGGGGCUAAUACCGGAUAGGAUCUCCUGCUGCAUGGUGGGGGUUGGAAAUUUUGGCGGUUGGGGAUGGACUUGCGGCUUAUCAGCUUGUUGGGGGGGGAGGGGCUUACCAAGGCUUUGACGGGUAGCCGGCCUGAGAGGGUGACCGGCCACAUUGGGACUGAGAUACGGCCCAGACUCCUACGGGAGGCAGCAGUGGGGAAUAUUGCACAAUGGGCGGAAGCCUGAUGCAGCAACGCCGCGUGCGGGAUGACGGCCUUCGGGUUGUAAACCGCUUUCGCCUGUGACGAAGCGUGAGUGACGGUAAUGGGUAAAGAAGCACCGGCUAACUACGUG
rnacentral:rRNA from 1 species